rnacentral:rRNA from 1 species
GACGAACGCUGGCGGCGUGCUUAACACAUGCAAGUCGAACGAGAAUCUACUGAAAGAGUUUUCGGACAAUGGAUGUAGAGGAAAGUGGCGGACGGGUGAGUAACGCGUGAGGAACCUGCCUUGAAGAGGGGGACAACAGUUGGAAACGACUGCUAAUACCGCAUGACGCAUAGAGGUCGCAUGAUCUUUAUGCCAAAGAUUUAUCGCUUCAAGAUGGCCUCGCGUCUGAUUAGCUAGUUGGCGGGGUAACGGCCCACCAAGGCGACGAUCAGUAGCCGGACUGAGAGGUUGAACGGCCACAUUGGGACUGAGAUACGGCCCAGACUCCUACGGGAGGCAGCAGUGGGGAAUAUUGGGCAAUGGGCGCAAGCCUGACCCAGCAACGCCGCGUGAAGGAAGAAGGCUUUCGGGUUGUAAACUUCUUUUAAGAGGGAAGAGUAGAAGACG